rnacentral:rRNA from 1 species
GAGUUUGAUCCUGGCUCAGGAUGAACGCUAGCGGCAGGCCUAAUACAUGCAAGUCGAACGGGCCUGGGUUUUACUCAGGUUAGUGGCGCACGGGUGCGUAACGCGUACACAACAUACCCUUGACUGGGGGAUAGCGGUGGGAAACUGCCAGUAAUCCCUCAUGGUCUUCUGAGUUGGCAUCGGCUCGGGAGUAAAGCUGAGGCGGUCGAGGAUUGGUGUGCGUCCGAUUAGCUAGUUGGUAGGGUAACGGCCUACCAAGGCGACGAUCGGUAGGGGGUGUGAGAGCAUGGCCCCCCACACGGGUACUGAGACACGGACCCGACUCCUACGGGAGGCAGCAGUAAGGAAUAUUGGACAAUGGUCGCAAGACUGAUCCAGCCAUGCCGCGUGCAGGAAGAAGGCCCUCUGGGUUGUAAACUGCUUUUGGACGGGAAUAAACCACCCGACGGGAUUGGGUGCUGAAGGUACCGUCAGAAUAAGCACCGGCUAACUCCGUGCCAGCAGCCGCGGUAAUACGGAGGGUGCGAGCGUUAUCCGGAAUCACUGGGUUUAAAGGGUGCGUAGGCGGCUCGGUAAGUCAGUUGUGAAAGCCCCUUGCUUAACGAGGGAGGUGCGAUUGAUACUGUCGAGCUUGAAUCGGGAUGAGGCAGGCGGAAUGUGGCAUGUAGCGGUGAAAUGCAUAGAUAUGCCAUAGAACACCGAUUGCGAAGGCAGCCUGCUGGGCCUGUAUUGACGCUGAGGCACGAAAGCGUGGGGAGCAAACAGGAUUAGAUACCCUGGUAGUCCACGCCCUAAACGAUGCUUACUUGCUGUUCGCGGGUAACUGGGAGCGGCGGAGCGAAAGCGUUAAGUAAGCCACCUGGGGAGUACGCCGGCAACGGUGAAACUCAAGGAAUUGA